GGGACAGUGUAUGGUGGGUAGUUUGACUGGGGCGGUCGCCUCCUAAAGAGUAACGGAGGCGCGCGAUGGUAGGCUCAGGCCGGUUGGAAACCGGCUGCGAGAGUGCAAUGGCAUAAGCCUGCCUGACUGCGAGACUGACGAGUCGAGCAGAGACGAAAGUCGGUCAUAGUGAUCCGGUGGUCCCUCGUGGAAGGGCCAUCGCUCAACGGCUA
rnacentral:rRNA from 11 species